rnacentral:pre_miRNA from 1 species
UAUAUACUCCCUCCGUCCGAAAAUACUUGUCGGAGAAAUGCAUAAAAAUGAAUGUAUCUAAAACUAAAAUACAUCUAGAUACAUCCAUUUCUCCGACGAGUAUUUCCGGACGGAGGGAGUAUACG